rnacentral:lncRNA from 1 species
AAUUAUGAAACGUUGACAUUUUAGGGCUUGGUAGCUUGGGAAUGGAGGGACAUCUGUGGAAUAUGUUGGGCACUUGUAUCCUUCUCCUUGGAUUUUUUUUUUUUUUUUUGAUGGAAAGCCUGUUUCAGACUACUGGGUUUACAGUUGAAUGGCAAAAUGGGAUCUUUCCAAUUACCAGAUUUAUUUAAUAUAUUUUACAUCAAGUGAGAAAAAUAUUUAUAAGAGACAUUCACCAAAAGUAGAAGCAAGAAGUGAGUCACAGAAAAACCAGAGGGACCACUAUCUUGUCCAGUGGCCUGGUAAAGUCGGUCUUCAGCACAUAUGUGAGGCUGAGAGAAUGAGAGGGGAGCUGGCAGUGGGUUCCUGGGAAUGAUCACCACUGGGGAAGGCAGGCAGAGGAUGUAAAAGGAGCUCACAGGCUGCAGACUGGUGGCGGGAUAGGCACAAAAGCAGGAAGAGAGAGCAACUGGAAAGAAAAGAGGCUCCCAGGAAAAGAUGCUAGUUGUAAAGCAACUAUGAGUUUGGGUAUCUGGACCCUCCCUGGUGACAGCAAUAUAGGUAGGAUGUAGAA